AUGCAGCGGCAAGGGGAGUCCAGCAAGGACAUCGUGAUCGUGGGAGCCGGGCUCACCGGGCUCGCCGCCGCGCUCGGGCUGCAUGGGAAAGGGGUGAGGAGCGUGGUGCUGGAGUCGUCCCCGGCGCUCCGGGCCUCGGGGUUCGCCUUCGCCACCUGGCCCAACGCCUUCCGCGUGCUCGACGCCCUCGGCGUCGGCGACCAGAUCAGGAAGCUCCACCUGCACAUCCAAGGGCUGCACGUCAUGUCAGCGUCCACGGGUGAGAUAGCGAAGGAAGUGGACUUCAGGGACGAGUUCCGCUGCGUCAGGCGGGACAUGCUGCUGUAGGUCCUGGCGGCGGAGUUGCCGACGGGCACCAUCCGCUACUCCUCCAGGAUCGUGUCCAUCGACGACGGCGACAGCGGCAGCGCCAAGAUCCUCCACCUCGCUGACGGCUCGACUCUCCGGGCAAAGGUGCUGGUCGGCUGCGACGGGAUCAACUCCGUGGUGGCAAGAUGGCUGGGGCUCACCAAGCCGUCGGGCGCUCGGCCACGCCGGCCCUCGCGCGUUACCCCCGACGGCCAUGGUUUCCCGCCCAAGUUCUUGCUGGCCGGCGUGGCCUGGGCACUUGGGCGGCAAAACGGCUCGUGGUGGCACGGCGGCACGAUGGUGCGUGCGACGCGGCCUUGGCCCAUCGCAGUGGUGCCAAGAACGCGAUGCUCGCGGCCAGGUAGGCCAAGGCGCGUGGGCUGUUCGGGAACGCGGUUGCCGUUGAUGCAUGGUGGUGACGGCCAGGAGCGGUGCAGCGACUCCUGCAGGCAGACGUGUGAUGCUCGCGACAGCGCACGGGAGGCGGAGGCAUGCGUGUGA
rnacentral:rRNA from 1 species